rnacentral:rRNA from 1 species
UGCCAGCAGCCGCGGUAAUACGGAGGGGGCAAGCGUUGUUCGGAAUUAUUGGGCGUAAAGAGUAUGUAGGCGGUUAGGUAAGUCAGGCGUGUAAGCCCUCGGCUCAACCGAGGAAUUGCGUUUGAAACUACCUAACUUGAGUACGAAAGAGGAAAGCGGAAUUCCCAGUGUAGCGGUGAAACGCAUUGAUAUUGGGAAGAACAUCGGUGGCGAAGGCGGCUUUCUGGUUCGAUACUGACGCUGAGAUACGAAAGCCAGGGGAGCAAACGGGAUUAGAUA